CAGAUUGAACGCUGGCGGCAGGCCUAACACAUGCAAGUCGAGCGGCAGCACGGGUACUUGUACCUGGUGGCGAGCGGCGGACGGGUGAGUAAUGCCUAGGAAUCUGCCUGGUAGUGGGGGAUAACGCUCGGAAACGGACGCUAAUACCGCAUACGUCCUACGGGAGAAAGCGAGGGGACCUUUCGGGCCUUGCGCUAUCAGAUGAGCCUAGGUCGGAUUAGCUAGUUGGUGAGGUAAUGGCUCACCAAGGCGACGAUCCGUAACUGGUCUGAGAGGAUGAUCAGUCACACUGGAAACUUG
rnacentral:rRNA from 1 species